rnacentral:rRNA from 1 species
GACGAACGCUGGCGGCGUGCUAAUACAUGCAAGUCGAGCGGAUCUCGAAUGCAGCUUGCUGCAUUCUUGAUUAGCGGCGAACGGGUGAGUAACACGUAGGCAACUGCCCAUCAGACCGGGAUAACAUCCGGAAACGGAUGCUAAUACCGGAUAAUCAAUUCCUUCGCAUGGAGGGAUUGGGAAAGACGGCGCAAGCUGUCACUGAUGGAUGGGCCUGCGGCGCAUUAGCUAGUUGGCGGGGUAACGGCCCACCAAGGCGACGAUGCGUAGCCGACCUGAGAGGGUGAACGGCCACACUGGGACUGAGACACGGCCCAGACUCCUACGGGAGGCAGCAGUAGGGAAUCUUCCACAAUGGGCGCAAGCCUGAUGGAGCAACGCCGCGUGAGUGAGGAAGGCUUUCGGGUCGUAAAGCUCUGUUGCCAGGGAAGAACGCUUCGGGGAGUAACUGCCCUGAAGGUGACGGUACCUGAGAAGAAAGCCCCGGCUAACUACGUG